rnacentral:rRNA from 1 species
UACGUAGGAGGCAAGCGUUGUCCUGAAUCACUGGGCGUAAAGCGCGUGUAGGCGGCCACUUAAGUCCUGCGUGAAAUCUUGCGGCUCAACCGCAAGCGGUCGUGGGAAACUGGGUGGCUAGAGUGCGGGAGAGGAGAGUGGAAUUCCUGGUGUAGCGGUGGAAUGCGCAGAUAUCAGGAGGAACACCGGUGGCGAAGGCGGGUCUCUGGGCCGAUACUGACGCUGAGGAGCGAAAGCGUGGGGAGCGAACAGG